UCAUUGCUUAUCAUUUUUAGUUCUGUUGGUAACUGUAUGUAGGAGGAUGGCUGGUCAAGAGAAUGGAGUAGACAACUUCGAUGUUGUGCCACCUUCGCAGCAGCCUGGCUUUGUUGAUUAACGUGGAAGAAGCAGACGAGGAAAAAAUAGAGGAGCUGGAGAAAUCUAUGUUCGGUUGGCUGCAGGACCACGGUCACACUCAUGUGCAUCACUAUGGUCACUUUGUCUGCCCUUUCUACCAUCUUGCUCACCGGGUUUGGGGUAUUCGUGACAUCGUGCAGCAUGCGUUUGGCAUUGGUCGCUCGGGUCGUGUUACCCUGGACUUGAGGGCUAGGCAUUGUGC
rnacentral:lncRNA from 1 species